CGCAGGGAGGGACGGUCCCAAGCGAGCCUCAUACCCUCGCCGCUGCGGGUUCAACUCCCGCCCCUGCAACCA
rnacentral:tRNA from 1 species